AUUGAACGCUGGCGGCAGGCCUAACACAUGCAAGUCGAACGGUAACAGGAAACAGCUUGCUGUUUCGCUGACGAGUGGCGGACGGGUGAGUAAUGUCUGGGAAACUGCCUGAUGGAGGGGGAUAACUACUGGAAACGGUAGCUAAUACCGCAUAACGUCGCAAGACCAAAGAGGGGGACCUUCGGGCCUCUUGCCAUCGGAUGUGCCCAGAUGGGAUUAGCUAGUAGGUGGGGUAACGGCUCACCUAGGCGACGAUCCAUAGCUGGUCUGAGAGGAUGACCAGCCACACUGGAACUGAGACACGGUCCAGACUCCUACGGGAGGCAGCAGUGGGGAAUAUUGCACAAUGGGCGCAAGCCUGAUGCAGCCAUGCCGCGUGUAUGAAGAAGGCCUUCGGGUUGUAAAGUACUCUCAGCGGGGAGGAAGGGAGUAAAGUUAAUACCUUUGCUCAUUGACGUUACCCGCAGAAGAAGCACCGGCUAACUCCGUGCCAGCCGCCGCCGUAA
rnacentral:rRNA from 1 species